GCCUGAUGCAGCGACGCCGCGUGAGGGACGACGGCCUUCGGGUUGUAAACCUCUUUCAGUAGGGAAGAAGCGAAAGUGACGGUACCUGCAGAACAAGCACCGGCUAACUACGUGCCAGCAGCCGCGGUAAUACGUAGGGUGCAAGCGUUGUCCGGAAUUAUUGGGCGUAAAGAGCUCGUAGGCGGUUUGUCGCGUCUGCUGUGAAAACUCGAGGCUCAACCUCGGGCCUGCAGUGGAUACGGGCAGACUAGAGUGCGGUAGGGGAGACUGGAAUUCCUGGUGUAGCGGUGGAAUGCGCAGAUAUCAGGAGGAACACCGAUGGCGAAGGCAGAUCUCUGGGCCGUAACUGACGCUGAGGAGCGAAAGCGUGGGGAGCGAACAGGAUUAGAUACCCUGGUAGA
rnacentral:rRNA from 1 species